UACGUAGGGUGCAAGCGUUAAUCGGAAUUACUGGGCGUAAAGCGUGCGCAGGCGGUUGUGCAAGACCGAUGUGAAAUCCCCGGGCUUAACCUGGGAAUGGCAUUGGUGACUGCACGGCUAGAGUGUGUCGAGAGGGGGUAGAAUUCCACGUGUAGCAGUGAAAUGCGUAGAGAUGUGGAGGAAUACCGAUGGCGAAGGCCAGCCCCCUGGGAUAACGACUGACGCUCAUGCACGAAAGCGUAGGGGAGCAAACAGG
rnacentral:rRNA from 1 species